AAUUACCCAUUCCCAGCACGGGGAGGUAGUGACGAAAAAUAACGAUACGGGACUCAUCCGAGGCCCCGUAAUCGGAAUGAGUACACUUUAAAACUUUUUCCGAGGAUCAAUUGGAGGGUAAGUCUGGUGCCAGCAGCCGCGGUAAUUCCAGCUCCAAUAGCGUAUAUUAAAGUUGUUGCGGUUAAAAAGCUCGUAGUCGAAUCUGUGUCCCGCGCCGCUGGUUCAUCGCUCGCGGUGUUCAACUGGCGUGUCUCGCGGGACGUCCUGCCGGUGGGUACUCGUAUCGUUUCGGCGGUGCGUGACCCAACUCGUAGCCGUCUCGCGCGGUUGCGAAUCCCAUCGCGGUGCUCUUUAUUGAGUGUCGAGGUGGGCCGGCACGUUUACUUUGAACAAAUUAGAGUGCUUAAAGCAGGCCAAUUUUGCCUGAAUAUUGUGUGCAUGGAAUAAUGGAAUAGGACCUCGGUUCUAUUUUGUUGGUUUUCGGAACCCCGAGGUAAUGAUUAAUAGGAACGGAUGGGGGCAUUCGUAUUGCGACGUUAGAGGUGAAAUUCUUGGAUCGUCGCAAGACGGACAGAAGCGAAAGCAUUUGCCAAAAACGCUUUCAUUGAUCAAGAACGAAAGUUAGAGGUUCGAAGGCGAUCAGAUACCGCCCUAGUUCUAACCAUAAACGAUGCCAGCUAGCGAUCCGCCGACGUUCCUCCGAUGACUCGGCGGGCAGCUUCCGGGAAACCAAAGCUUUUGGGUUCCGGGGGAAGUAUGGUUGCAAAGCUGAAACUUAAAGGAAUUGACGGAAGGGCACCACCAGGAGUGGAGCCUGCGGCUUAAUUUGACUCAACACGGGACACCUUACCAGGCCCGGACACCGGAAGGAUUGACAGAUUGAGAGCUCUUUCUUGAUUCGGUGGGUGGUGGUGCAUGGCCGUU
rnacentral:rRNA from 1 species